AACGAACGCUGGCGGCAUGCCUAACACAUGCAAGUCGAACGAGACCUUCGGGUCUAGUGGCGCACGGGUGCGUAACGCGUGGGACCCUGCACUUAGGUUCGGAAUACCUCCCCGAAAGGGGUGCUAAUACCGGAUAAUGUCUUCGGACACAAGAUUUAUCGCCUUUGGAUGGGCCCGCGUUGGUUUAGCUGGUUGGUAGGGUAAAAGCCUACCACGGCGACGCUACAUAGCUGGGCUGAGAGGAUGAUCAGCCACACUGGGAAUGAGACGCGGCCCAGACUCCUACGGGAGGCAGCAGUGGGGGAUAUUGCACAACGGGCGAAAUCAUGAUCCAGCAAUGCCGCUUGAGUGAUGAAGGCCGUAGGGUUGUAAAGCUCGUUUACCCGGGAUGAUAAUGACAGUACCGGGAGAAUAAGCACCGGCUAACUCCGUG
rnacentral:rRNA from 1 species